rnacentral:tRNA from 1 species
CGGCGGAUAUGGUGUAAUGGUAACAUAUCUGAUUUGGAAUCAGACGAGUAUAGGUUCAAAUCCUAUUGUCCCGA